UGGCCAGCUUUUUUUUUAUUUGUAUUUUUUUGGGCGGGGGGGGUGCGUCUGUAAAUGACGCUCGAUGGCUUUGUGGUUUUGUAUUGAACUGUAGAUUUCAUGCAUUUUUAUGUGCUUUGGUUUUCAGAUCUGUGGUAUUGCAAUUGUACUAUUCAUGUCAAUAUUGAAAUGUACAAAAAUUUUCUGCCGUGAAAUGUUUUCUUCUGUGGUGGUGUAAUACGUUACACUUUCAAUCUUAAUGGUCAUGUGUUCCUGGGUCUGUUUUAUUCACCCUCUGGUUAUCCAGUGAGGGGUGUGGGUCAUUUUUAAUAUUGAACUUUUGGGGUUCUUCUGAUCUGUUUGACGUGUUGCAGAGGUGGAGCUGGAUCAUGAGAGUGUAAAAACUGGCAAAAAUGAAGUGACCAGCACGCAACUAAUGGUUGCAUGUCUUUUACAGGGCGGAUGAGGCGACUGCCGGGGGACGGGACGAGUGGAAGUAAAAAUUCACCAGUGCGGGAGUCGUUAGUGUGUUUGGUGACAGGAGGGGGGGCAGAGUACUGGGCUUUGUGGCACACCUUGUGUAGCAGUCUGGGAAAUGGUGGCAGAGGAUGAGACGAGACAGGAGGGGAUGAAUCAGGGUAACAAGAACAUGCACAAAUUCAAAUGAUCUGCACUCAACCCCCCCCCCACCGUUUUGCAUGAUUGGGAAAAAAGUAAAAUGUAUAAACACCAGUGAAAUAAGUAUUGGGCUUUCAUUUUUUUCGUGGUUAAGAAAUAGAAAAACUAGACCUAAAACAUGACAAUGUGCAGUAAAAGGCAACGUUUGCACACAGUGGUUAAACACAAAAAAAUCCCCCAAUAAAUGGGACAUAUAGUGGAGUGAUUUGAUUGGGGGGGUAAAAUAGUAAAUAUUUUAAAAUUGUGCAGGAUCUAAAAGACAAUGCAUUGUUAGUGUUUUUGUUGCUCAAUCUUUUCUUUUUUGGGGUCCUCCUUUCCCUCCCGUGAAGGAAUACUUUAACCCUAUUGCACUAUAAUUCAGUUUUUUUUUUUUUUUUUUUUUUUUUUUGUGUUAGACCAUGAGGAGUAUCAUGUUUUUAGAAAAGUCUUAAAGCUUCGGCUCUCCUUUUGUGGCGUGAGGGGAGAAGCGAAUUGGAGGCAGGUGCGCACCAGCGAGCCAUAAAGCUGACGCAGGUGCACUAAUGGGCAUGAGCAGCAAAAUGGCGAGCAGGGAAGCGGCGUUUUCUCAGGCGUGCAAGCAAAUGUUUGUUUGUAACGGUGGAAUUGUUUGUUGCAGGCUUCUCAGUGGCGAGGAAGCAGCCGCGUCGAAGGAAAAGUUUGUGCGUCACGUUGGGCUGAGCACUUGUUUCUUUUUACGUGAUUUUAUUUUUUUAUGCUGGCUGGCUCUUCUGUUUAGUUCUUUUCUGAAUAUUUACAUGUAUUAUUGAUGUAAUUUGUAUCUUUCCUGUGAGCCUUUCGCAAUCUUUUUUUAAAAGGCGGUGCUUCAACCGUGGAGGGCAACGUGUACAAAGGCACAAAUGAAUCCAAGUUUCCAGCUCCCAACGCGUGACACUUGUGUGCUUUUUGCAGGUUGAAAGAGGAGCCCGCCUGGUGGAAGGAGGUCAAAGGACGAGGCCUCUCAAGCUGUUUGCCCGUGUCUGAAUCGGUCCGAGGGUGGUGGAGAUGCAGAAUCAGACAACGCACCAGGGUCAGCGGUUCUUAAAGACUAAUCAGAAUCAUCUUGAUGAUGUAGUUUGCGUGGCCAAAUUGGACGAAGUGACCAGGAUGGGGAGGCUGUAAGACGAUUUUGGAUGUAGAGCUGUGGCAGUGUGCAAGUCCUGGAGGAGGAGUCAGCAGCAUUUUUGACCCUGCCCCAAGUCUUUUGAGAAAUUGGACAAGGGUAAAAAGUCCUUACGCAUCAUGAACUGAUUCCAAACUACCUCACCGUAGCAUUCCCAAAGAAAAGUGGGAAUGUUCCACCGCUUCAAGAUCCAAGUACGAGGGAAGUGUCUUGCGACCACUUUUGCUGUUUGUCGUCACUCACUAAUGCACGGGGGGUGUUCGCACUGACUCUGAUUUUUGAACAUUAAUUUGGCCCUUCUGUAGCUAAGUGUGGAAUUUCAAGCUGUCAUCCGUCCCUAUUGGUCAAUGCCAGCUUUUUGCUUUCAGGGGCAGCGGCGGAUUGGGCAAGAACACAGAAAUUGGAGAAAGAUAAGUUAUGACUAUAACUAAUACAGUACACGUGACAUGUGAGUGGCGCGUUCCCAACGUGAUUCUUCCUCGUGUUGAUGACUCGGAGCAGCGGUGGAGUGCAGGAAUGCGGCCAGGAGGAAAAAAAACGUACACGGCGACGCUGUCCAGUCGGGGUCCUCGAAGCCGCGUUCAACGUGAAAUUGUGCAGUCACGCCGACCUGAGGGAAGGAAGCUGCAAGUGGUGACCAGGAUGUGGACGCUGCAAGAGCAUUUUUGGAGGCAGGUCCUCAAGGGGGGGGCUCGAGGGGCCCCCUUUUCAGCGGUUUUGCUCGGAGGUGGAAAGCAGAACACGGGACUGACUCGACGACUGCAAUGUCGAACUCCUCGGCGGCUUCUGCGGCAGACGCAGGAAGUGGACCUUCCGCUGGGCCUUUUUCAGGUCGGGAGCGAUUUUAAACUCCCAGGACGUUGAAGGUCCCCCACGGCGAACGCACGGCAGCUGGGACGAAGGACGCCUCUGCCUCACGAAGUCCACAAUCUUUUCUCCGCUCAUCGUCGCAGUCUUCGAGGCCGCUGGAGCGUCGACCGCAACGGCAAACGGUCCUCUUGCGGAGCUUCACGCGGAUGCCAAGGUGCAGCAGAGGAAACGAGGCGCCGACAUCCGCCGGGUGAGGGUAAAAAGUACACACAAAUUGAAGUCACCAGCGUGCAACUAAUUGUGUUGUGCGUACAUAUUUUGGAGGCGAGCUGCAGAAAGGCUGAGCGAGGGGAAACGGAACGGACCAAAUAAAGGAAGUGAACGGGAGGAGGGCAGCUUUGGCCAAGGAAGUUCGGAGAGUUUUGCGGACCUUCCUCGGUCGGCUGGAGCCGGCCGGUCUUGAUUUGUCCCAUCUGCGGCGCCGACGUCCGUUGGAGGUGGUCGGCUCGUCGUUUCGGCGGGGUCAGGGGUCGGCCGUAGCGGGCGGGCCCCGCGAAGACGAGGGAGGACUUCUCGUCUCUCGGUGAGUACGCGUCACCAACGUAACGUCAACGCCGGUGCGCUUCUCCCCCCGCAGCGUCCCGAAACAAAGGCGCCAACCGGAGGGUGAGUCUGUCGUCGGUCCGCUUGGCGUUUGCCUCCGCUCACUAACUCACUUGGUGUUCACCCACUAACGCCGUUUGCUGUGAAUUUUGUUCAAAUCUUUGAACGUGUUCAUAAUUCCGUCUUCCCCCAAAAUGUCUUUUUUGUAUUUGACUUUUUCUCUCCUUUACACUUUCGUAUGUGACAAAUGUGCUUUAUUUGAAAUAAAAUGGCUUUGAACUGUUUUUAGCGUGUGCAAAUACAUUUCAGACUAAAAAUGACUCUCACAGUCAGGCAUUUUAGCGCCCUAAAAUAAGUUUGAUAUUUCGGCCUUUGACAAAUAGCAUAAAAAAUUUCCCAAAGUAUAAAUGACUGGAUUUUAAAUGGACAAAAUUAAAACAUGACAAUGUGCAGUAAAAGGCAAAAUUUUCAUGCAGGGGUUUAAAAAAAAAAUCUCAGGACGUAUUGUGAGAUGAUGGGGUAAAAAAAUGAAAGUGGUCAAAUUGUGUGUGAUUUAAUGAAAAAAAAAAUUGUACAAUGUGUUUUUGUUGGAUGCCUGAGAAGUUGCAGUCAUUCAGUUUUUGA